rnacentral:rRNA from 1 species
AUUGAACGCUGGCGGCAUGCUUUACACAUGCAAGUCGAACGGUAACAGGGUGCUUGCACCGCUGACGAGUGGCGAACGGGUGAGUAAUGCGUCGGAACGUGCCGAGUAGUGGGGGAUAACGCAGCGAAAGUUGUGCUAAUACCGCAUACGUACUGAGGUAGAAAGUGGGGGACCUUCGGGCCUCACGCUAUUCGAGCGGCCGACGUCUGAUUAGCUAGUAGGUGAGGUAAAGGCUCACCUAGGCGACGAACAGUAGCGGGUCUGAGAGGAUGGACCUCCCGACUGGGACGGGGCCACGGCCCAGACUCCUCCGGGAGGCAACAGUGGUGAAUUUUGGACAAUGGGCGAAAGCCUGAUCCAGCCAUGCAGCGUGUCUGAAGAAGGCCUUGGGGUUGUAAAGGACUUUUGUCGGGGAGGAAAUCCCCAGCGUUAAUACCGCUAGGGGAUGACAGUACCUGAAGAAUAAGCACCGGCUAACUACGUGCCAGCCGCCGCAGUAAUAC